rnacentral:rRNA from 1 species
UACGUAGGGUGCAAGCGUUGUCCGGAAUUAUUGGGCGUAAAGAGCUCGUAGGCGGUCCGUCACGUCGCUGUGAAAACCUGGGGCUCAACCCCGGGCCUGCAGCCGAUACGGGCGGACUAGAAUUCGGUAGGGGAGACUGGAAUUCCUGGUGUAGCGGUGAAAUGCGCAGAUAUCAGGAGGAACACCGGUGGCGAAGGCGGGUCUCUGGGCCGAUACUGACGCUGAGGAGCGAAAGCGUGGGGAGCGAACAGG